CGAUUUUUGUGUCAAAAGUCAAGUUGUGUCAAUGUCAAAAUGUUUCAAGCAGCAUUUUUAAUUCGCAAGAUUAUUUCGGUAUCGAGCCUAUCAAGAAAACUAUUACUGUAAGUAGUCGAGAUUACGAUUAUCAACUUUUCCUACGCGUUCCCCUGGUAUACUAAAAUGGCACUAGCGUCAUCCUUUAUUCGCCUAAUUAUGCAAUCUUCCAAGGUGACUGAUCAAGUGUUGUCACCUCGUCUUUAUUCGUUUUGUUUCUAUUCGUUCUGUGAUAUUAACCUGUCCGCAAAAAAUUAAUGACCUAUUCUCAUUCGGUUAUGCACGCUACAUAACUGGAACGAAACCGUGAAUUGCUUGUUAACAACCUAAGUAUGUUUACGAUAUUGUUUUUUUCUUUAAAGCGUCUUGCAACUUAUUCUAAUUGGAAGUUCUCGUCCAUUUUUUCACAGGUACGUCAUUACAAUGACUAAUCAUCAGCUGUUGGAAAACACGGAAAUACAUGCAACGAAAUGUGUGCGGUAAUUUAUGUGUACAGUCAUUAUCUUUUUACAUGACUUUAUAGCAUCGAUUGCUAAACGAUUGGCGACGAAGUUACAAUCGAAGUAUGAAUUACGUUGGAAAUUUUAAGUGGCGGAUCUUUAGGAGUAUGAUAAAUUAAAUACAAAUGCAAUAAAUUAACGAAGUGUUUUACUUGUUUUGUCUAUGCUAUGAAGGUGGAGUAUAUAUACUACAACUUUGAAUUGGAGUCCUAAAGAAGAGUGAAACCAUGCAGAGUUAAGAAUAAUGAAAAUCAAAUUUACAAAUAAUUAUUUAUGUUCAAAUGUAUAUGUAUAAGGAAAUCCCGAGUGUCAUUAAUUUGUUCUCGAGUCAUACACGCAAUCCAUUCUCUAAUUCGCAAGAUGAAGAAGUAAUCGGUAAUGGAAGGAACCGAUUUAUUCGAAUUGUCUUCGCCUACGCCAUGGAUCAUUGAUUCUAUACUGGUACCGGAAUGUAAUACGGAAAGAAACAUUUUUUAUUCUACGGCCCGCGCGAAUACGCUGGAAUUUUCCUGUUAGAGGUUAUCGUACAAGGAAGUGAACGGAAACUCGGGUCUUCCAGACUGGUUGAUAGAGGUUGUCCGAGAAAGAGGACAGAGAAAGCAGAAAUAUUAUGCGAGCACAAACAAUGAUUCCAGAGAAAUUAGUAUUUGGAUGAUGCUGGGUGGAGAAUAAUAAGAAAAGAUGUAUGCGAAUUGUUCUUGGAUGGAGGGGUAUAUAACCUCAAAUUUAUAUAUCUAGAAUUUUUGAUCAAGCAUUAUAUUGCCACGCGCUAUAUUGCCAUGUUGUAUGACGACACAUUGCAGUAAGACAGGGUGCAUGAUUAUACGACGACUUGCAUUACAUCGCAUUGUACUGCAGAAUACUGUAACACUCAGUUCUAAAAUUCAAUAUUCUAAAAAUAAUACUUGAAUACCAAUUGAUAUUAUAAUCAUAAUGUACAGGGAAACAGAAUGUAAAAGGGGUAUGUGAUAGGAACUGAGGGAUUGGCAGAAAACCACUUAAAUGCCAAGGAUAAAUGCGAUUCUACAUUUCUUCCCAUUCUUUGGAUAACUGUUGGGAAAGCAAUAAAUAUGAGUUGUUAGAAAUGAUAUUACAGAGCAAUGGCUAGAAGAGUCAGAAGAAAGAGAUACAAAGUUUCUCUUGUUUUUAUUUAUGCGGAAGAAAUGACAUUUCUUUGAAAGAAAUGAUAGUAAAAUUUUGAUGUCGACGUGAAAGAGAGAAUCAGCUUUUUGUGCAUGCUGUAAUAAUUUUGCAACAUGGUAAAAGUCAAUGAACUUUAAAAUCAUAUAAAUUGAUGAAGAUUUAUUUGGAACUAUCAUUGGAGACACUUUGGAAUGCUAUCACGAGUCGAUUCUAGCUAAAUUUGGUAAACAAGUUCUUUUUUUAAAAAGAAACAUCUGUGAGAACGUUUUUUCGAACGAAAAGCUUUUAUCAUUGCAGUGUUAUUCUCUAUAUUACCGACGAGAUACAGCAUAGUAUGCAAACUGUUCUGAAUACAUAAUCCUCAUAUUAAGACCUACAGAAUAUGUCAUAAGCAGUAUAAAAUCAAUAUUAAUGAGUAUAUAGUGAAUAUACAGCAUA